UGCUGGUCCUCAAACGGGGGCAUGUGCACGCUCUGUUAACACAUCCACUCACACCCUGUGCACCCUCUGUAGUUCUGUGGUUGGGGGACCCAUCCUCCUGCUGUGGUUCUGCAUCUUUACACACACACACUGUAACAAAGUCUCAUGGAAUGCAUCUGCGUUUAACGCAAUACAAUACAACUUUCAGCAACGGAUCUCUUGGCUCUCGCAUCGAUGAAGAACGCAGCGAAAUGCGAUAAGUAAUGUGAAUUGCAGAAUUCAGUGAAUCAUCGAAUCUUUGAACGCACCUUGCGCCCUUUGGCCAUUCCGAAGGGCAUGCCUGUUUGAGUAUCAUGAACACCUCAACUCUUCAUGGUUUUCCGUGAUGAGCUUGGACUUUGGGGGUUUUGCUGGCCUACGGUCGGCUCCUCUAAAAUGAAUCAGCUUGCCAGUGUUUGGUGGGCAUCACAGGUGUGAUAACUAUCUACGCUUGUGGUUUUCCCACCAGGUAACCUUCAG
rnacentral:rRNA from 1 species